rnacentral:rRNA from 1 species
UACAGAGGGUGCGAGCGUUAAUCGGAAUUACUGGGCGUAAAGCGCGCGUAGGCGGCUUUGCAAGCCGGAUGUGAAAUCCCCGGGCUUAACCUGGGAACUGCAUUCGGGACUGCAUUGCUAGAGUAUGGGAGAGGGAAGUGGAAUUUCAGGUGUAGCGGUGAAAUGCGUAGAUAUCGAGAGGAACACCUGCGGCGAAGGCGGGUAGCUGGGCCGACACUGACGCUGAGGCGCGAAAGCCAGGGGAGCGAACGGG